AUUUGAUCAAUGCAUAAUAAGCGAGUGGUUGUAAUACUUUCGACAUGAAAUACCAUAUCACAAGAACAAUCUCAUUGUAAUUUUUGUCAUUUCUAAAUGUAUUGUCAAUUAGCUAAGAAGCCUUGACAUACCUUAUUGUGGUCUACAGAGCCAAUGAAGUGUUUACUUCUCGAUAACUCGUUUAGCUCCAUCCAAUGUAUUCUUCAGAAGCAUUGCAACAGUCAUUGGUCCAACGCCUCCCGGAACUGGAGUUAUCCAGCCAGCCACCUUACAUGCUUCCUGAAAAUCGACAUCUCCAACGAGCCUAUAACCUGACUUUCUUGUAGGAUCAUCUACAGCAUUUGUUCCAACAUCAAUUACUGCAGCACCAGGUUUGAUCCAGCUGCCUUUGAUCAUCAUAGCCUGUCCUGCGGCAGCAAUGAUAAUGUCUGCUUCGCGAAUGAUUUUCUCUGGUUCUUUGGUGCGUGAAUGGACUACAGUAACAGUGGCGUCUUCCUUCAGAAGAAGAAGAGAUACUGGUAAUCCAACAAUGUUGCUUCGACCAACCACAACUGCGUUCUUCCCCUUUAUGCUAAUCCCACUUCGGACUAAAAGCUCGAUGCAUCCCUUGGGCGUGCAAGGGUUGAACAAAGGUUGUCUGCCUUUCAUUGCAAGCUUGCCGAUAUUCAGAGGAUGAAAGCCAUCUACAUCCUUUUCCAGACUGAUUUCACACAGAACUUUCUCUUCAUUAAUAUGUUUUGGUAACGGAAGCUGUACCAGUAUACCAUGUACAUCAGGAUCAGCAUUUAGCUCAUGGACCUUGCUAAUCACCUCAGCUUCAGCUACAUCCUCUGGGAGGUCUAUAUCAAAAGACUUAAUGCAGAGCUCAGCACAAGAUUUUCUCUUCAUAUUCACGUAACUUUGUGAAUCCUUCCUAUUUCCUACAAUGACAACUGCCAACCCGGGGACCUUGCCAUACUUUUCUGAAAGACGUUGGACUUCAGAAGCAAUCUCAGAACGAAUAGUUUGAGCAAUUGCUUUACCGUCAAUGAUGGUAGCCUUGUGAUCUGAUGGCGAUGCCAUUGUAUCUUCAGACGAGAUAUAAAUUACCUAUAACUUCAACACUUUUAGUCAAUUAAUAGGAAUCGGCUCUUCAGAUCUGUAAGGAAUAAAUAUUGGCGAAAA
rnacentral:misc_RNA from 1 species